UGAGACAGAGUUUCUGAGUGCAACAGAGAAGAAAAAGAAGAAAUAUCAGGAGUUAAAGAAGAGAAUACAGCGAGAGAAACAUCUUGGUGUAAUAUCACAGAAAAUGGAACGAAGGAAACAGUUACUGGAUAAAUCUUUGAAGAGGAAAAAAGUUGCUGAGGAGACAAAGAAUUCAGCUGCCCAUUAUAAAUGGCAGUUCAAGCGGAAAAGAUGAUUUAUUUUGAAAAUGUUGUCCC